rnacentral:pre_miRNA from 1 species
UAGAGAAGAGCUUAUGAAGUUAGCCAAGAUGACUGCCUGCAAAACCCACAAAAAUACAUUAUAAAAUUUUUUUCCCGAUUAAUUUCUAUGGCUGAUGAGACCAUGCAUCUUAGGGACGAAUGCAGGCAAGUCAUUCUUGGCUACUAAACAAGCCUCUUUUCU